GGCUCUGUGGCGCAAUGGAUAGCGCAUUGGACUUCUAGUCGAUCAAGAUAAGAUAUUCAAAGGUUGUGGGUUCGAGUCCCACCAGAGUCA
rnacentral:tRNA from 1 species